UAAUAGAAUCUGAAGAAAUCUAAAUUAAAAAAAAAAAAAAAAAACAGGGGAAAUUUCUUCAGAUUCCAUUA
rnacentral:sRNA from 1 species